rnacentral:rRNA from 1 species
CCGGCACGGGUGCGUAACGCGUAUGCAACCUACCUUUAACAGGGGGAUAACACUGAGAAAUUGGUACUAAUACCCCAUAAUAUGGGCGCUCCGCAUGGAGAGCCCAUUAAAGAGAGCAAUUUUGGUUACAGACGAGCAUGCGCUCCAUUAGCCAGUUGGCGGGGUAACGGCCCACCAAAGCGACGAUGGAUAGGGGUUCUGAGAGGAAGGUCCCCCACAUUGGAACUGAGACACGGUCCAA